UUUCCUGUGGCCCACUUGGAAGAGUAUUGGGCAAACAACGCAAAGGUCGUGGGAUCAAAUCCCAGGGAAC